rnacentral:lncRNA from 1 species
GAUUUUUUUAUCACCCGAGCACGAGGACAGCGGCAAGAAAGCACUCGAUCCUCGGAUGACCAACAAAGCGCUUUUGCUUGGGCACAGGGCGUCGCGCCGUACGUGCGCAUGCAGAGGUCACCCAUUGGGCCAACGAUAUUUGCGUAUAAAAUAUUGUCGGCCGCCCACGGCCCCGCUGCGGUCAACUAUACUGCUGCGUGUCGGCACUUGUCUACACCGAAAGCAUGCUAGUCCUGUGACCAACACAGGCGCCGGCCUUCAACUGGACAACAGCAGUGGACUGGUUCCAACGAUGCGGUGGCGCGAAUAAGCCUACCUACACGCCUCGACUGACCGACCGCGCGCUGUCUGCCGCCCAGGUCUCAAACAUUAUUAUUGUGCGCAUGUUUUUAUAAACACAUUUGUUGGGAU